rnacentral:rRNA from 1 species
AGCGAACGCUGGCGGCAGGCCUAACACAUGCAAGUCGAACGAAGCCUUCGGGCUUAGUGGCGGACGGGUGAGUAACAAGUGGGAACGUACCUUUUGGUUCGGAAUAACGAAGAGAAAUUUGCGCUACUACCGAAUGCGCCCUUCGGGGGAAAGAUUUAUCAGCGAAAGAUCAGCCCGCGUUGGAUUAGGUAGUUGGUGGGGUAAAGGCGAACCAAGCCUACGAUCCAUAGCGGGUCUGGGAGGAUGAUCAGCCACACUGGGACUGAGACACGGCCCAGACUCCUACGGGAGGCAGCAGUGGGGAAUCUUGCGCAAUGGGCGAAAGCCUGACGCAGCCAUGCCGCGUGAAUGAUGAAGGUCUUAGGAUUGUAAAAUUCUUUUACCAGGGACGAUAAUGACGGUACCUGGAGAAAAAGCCCCGGCUAACUUCGUGCCAGCCGCCGCUGUAAUAC